CACAGAGAGUGACACCGGCACAGAGCGACACCGGCACAGAGUGUGACACCGGGCAGAGUGUGACACUGACACAGCGAGUGACACCGGCACAGAGCGACACCGGCACAGAGAGUGACACUGACACAGAGUGUGACACUGGGCAGAGUGUGACACUGACACAGAGAGUGACAUCAGCACGGAGUGACACCGGCACAGAGCGUGACACCGGGCAGAGUGUGACACCAGCACAGAGUGACACCAGGCAGAGCGUGACACUGACACAGAGCUCUGGCACAGGGGGAAGCGCUGGCACAGCACCCUGGCACCGGGCAGAGCGAGGCUGGCACAGCGCAGGGCACGGCACAGCACGGAGCACCAGCACGGGGCAGAGCCAGACUGCCCUGGCACAGCAGGCACAGCACCAGCACAGAACACUGGCACGGCACGGAACGGUGGCACAGCACGGAGCGGGAUGGCAGAGCCAGAGUGCCCUGGCACGAGGGAGCAGCAGCAGCACAGCACACUGGCACAGCACACUGGCACAGCACAGAACGCUGGCACAGCACAGAAUGCUGGCACAGCACACAGCAGGAUGCCAGAUUCCCCUGGCACAGCAGAAGUAGUAGAAGCAGCACCAGCACAGAGCUCUGGCACAGCACAGAACACUGGCACAGAGCUCUGGCAUGGCACAGAACACUGGCACAGAGCUCUGGCACAGCACUGAGCUCUGGCACAGCACAGAACACCAGCCCAGAGCUCUGGCACAGCACAGAACACUGGCACAGAGCUCUGGCACAGCACAGAACACCAGCCCAGAGCUCUGGCAUGGCACAGAACACUGGCACGGAGCUCUGGCACAGCACUGAGCUCUGGCACAGCACAGAACACCAGCCCAGAGCUCUGGCAUGGCACAGAACGCUGGCACAGAGCUCUGGCAUGGCACAGAACACCAGCACAGAGCUCUGGCACAGCACAGAACACCAGCACAGAGCUCUGGCAUGGCACAGAACACUGGCACGGAGCUCUGGCACAGAGCUCUGGCACAGCACUGAGCUCUGGCACAGCACAGAACACCAGCACAGAGCUCUGGCACAGCACAGAACACCAGCACAGAACACUGGCACAGGGCGCUGGCACAGAGCUCUGGCACAGCCAGCACACAGCAGCGUGCCAGAGCCAGUUUCCCUUGGCACAGUGGGAGCAGCAGCAGCAGCAGCAGCGCUGGCACGGCGCAGUGGCACAGGGCAGGGUGGCACAGCCGCUGUCCCCCGGCACAGGACGGGCAGGGGGAGCAGCACCAGCACGGGACAGCAGCACGGGACGCUGGCACCACACCCAGCACGGUGCCAGAGCUGGCUUUCCCUGGCACAGAGGGAGCAGCACCAGCACAGAACGCUGGCACGGAGCAGAGCACACGCCAGAGAGAGUUUUCCCCUGGCACAGCAGGAGCAGAUGAGCAGCAGUGGCACGGAACACUGGCACAGAGCAGGAGGCCAGAGCCGGUUUCCCCUGGCACAGCAGGAGCAGCACCAGCACAGCAGGAGCAGAUGAGCAGCACCGGCACAGAACACUGGCACAGAGCAGGAGGCCAGAGCCAGCUUUCCCUGGCACAGCAGGAGCAGCACCAGCAUGGCACAGAGCAGCAGGAACAGCACCAGCACGGAGCAGGAGGCCAGAGCUGGAUUCCUCCGGCACAGCAGGAGCAGCAGGAGCAGGAUUCCAGAGUUGGAUUU
ensembl:lncRNA